rnacentral:lncRNA from 1 species
AUAUACCCAUGACAGAUAUAUUUAAAUGGUAAAAGAUAAUAGGACAAGCAUCUGAAGAUGAAAUAUACCCAUGACAUAUACAAUAAUCUGUAUUCUUCAUAUUAUAUUAUAAUAUAAUGGCCUCCAGAAACUGAUCCGGCUAGCUGGCAUCGCAGCAAGAAGUUGCAUCGCCUUUAAUUUGGGUCUUGAGCAUAGCCAUUCACCACUUCAGUCAACCAAUGAGGCGCGCUAUAUAGCUGACUGAAAUUGCUGCUAGCUGAACUAAUAACAUGUGUGCAAGCUUUGUUCAGAGAAGGCUUUGUGUCUAGCAGUAACACGGUUAUAGUUAUUUGUUCCGCUGAAAACUGCAGCUGUCCAAACAAGACAACAUUUUACUCAACAUUCCAGGAUCUGCAAGAACCUAGGUCUUGAAACGCUGCAAGGAUAAGUAUAAAAUCUGUGCAACUCUAUAUAUCUCCCCAAGAGCAAUCAAGUAGUGACCACCUGUAAAACCAACAUAGAUGGCAAUUUAUAAUUGAAUUCUAUCUGUGAAGGUAAAUGAUCCCAAAUGAAUGAUAAAGCUUUUCUGGUCGUGCAAAAUAUUUGUACCUUCAGAAACUACUCUGUCGCAGACAUUUGCAUGAUAAAAC